GCCGGGCGUUGUGGCGGGCGCCUGUGGUCCCAGCUACUUGGGAGGCGGAGGCAGGAGACUCGCUUGAGCCCAGGAGUUGGAGGUUGCUGUGAGCUGUAAUGCCAUGGCACUCUGCCCAGGGGGACAGCUUGAGGCUCUGUCUCAAAAAAAAAAAAAAAAAAAAAAAAAACAAAAUUAGAUACUUUAUUUUUUUGAGACAGGGUCUUGCUCUGUCAUCCAUGAGGGCAGGCAGUGAUGUCAUCAUAGCUCACUGCAGCCUCAAACUCCUGGGCUCAAGCCAUCCUCCUGC
rnacentral:sRNA from 1 species